CAGGAUUAGAUACCCUGGUAGUCCACGCCGUAAACGAUGUCUACUUGGAGGUUGUGGCCUUGAGCCGUGGCUUUCGGAGCUAACGCGUUAAGUAGACCGCCUGGGGAGUACGGUCGCAAGAUUAAAACUCAAAUGAAUUGACGGGGGCCCGCACAAGCGGUGGAGCAUGUGGUUUAAUUCGAUGCAACGCGAAGAACCUUACCUACUCUUGACAUCCAGAGAAGCCAGCGGAGACGCAGGUGUGCCUUCGGGAGCUCUGAGACAGGUGCUGCAUGGCUGUCGUCAGCUCGUGUUGUGAAAUGUUGGGUUAAGUCCCGCAACGAGCGCAACCCUUAUCCUUGUUUGCCAGCGAGUAAUGUCGGGAACUCCAGGGAGACUGCCGGUGAUAAACCGGAGGAAGGUGGGGACGACGUCAAGUCAUCAUGGCCCUUACGAGUAGGGCUACACACGUGCUACAAUGGCGCAUACAGAGGGCAGCAAGCUAGCGAUAGUGAGCGAAUCCCAAAAAGUGCGUCGUAGUCCGGAUUGGAGUCUGCAACUCGACUCCAUGAAGUCGGAAUCGCUAGUAAUCGUGAAUCAGAAUGUCACGGUGAAUACGUUCCCGGGCCUUGUACACACCGCCCGUCACACCAUGGGAGUGGGCUGCAAAAGAAGUGGGUAGUUUAACC
rnacentral:rRNA from 1 species